AAAAAAGAAAUGGGGGGGGCCUACCAUGCCAAGUCGAGCGGUAGCACAGAGAGCUUGCUCUCGGGUGACGAGCGGCGGACGGGUGAGUAAUGUCUGGGAAACUGCCUGAUGGAGGGGGAUAACUACUGGAAACGGUAGCUAAUACCGCAUAAUGUCGCAAGACCAAAGUGGGGGACCUUCGGGCCUCAUGCCAUCAGAUGUGCCCAGAUGGGAUUAGCUAGUAGGUGGGGUAACGGCUCACCUAGGCGACGAUCCCUAGCUGGUCUGAGAGGAUGACCAGCCACACUGGAACUGAGACACGGUCCAGACUCCUACGGGAGGCAGCAGUGGGGAAUAUUGCACAAUGGGCGCAAGCCUGAUGCAGCCAUGCCGCGUGUGUGAAGAAGGCCUUCGGGUUGUAAAGCACUUUCAGCGGGGAGGAAGGCGUUAAGGUUAAUAACCUUGGCGAUUGACGUUACCCGCAGAAGAAGCACCGGCUAACUCCGUGCCAGCAGCCGCGGUAAUACGGAGGGUGCAAGCGUUAAUCGGAAUUACUGGGCGUAAAGCGCACGCAGGCGGUCUGUCAAGUCGGAUGUGAAAUCCCCGGGCUCAACCUGGGAACUGCAUUCGAAACUGGCAGGCUAGAGUCUUGUAGAGGGGGGUAGAAUUCCAGGUGUAGCGGUGAAAUGCGUAGAGAUCUGGAGGAAUACCGGUGGCGAAGGCGGCCCCCUGGACAAAGACUGACGCUCAGGUGCGAAAGCGUGGGGAGCAAACAGGAUUAGAUACCCUGGUAGUCCACGCCGUAAACGAUGUCGAUUUGGAGGUUGUGCCCUUGAGGCGUGGCUUCCGGAGCUAACGCGUUAAAUCGACCGCCUGGGGAGUACGGCCGCAAGGUUAAAACUCAAAUGAAUUGACGGGGGCCCGCACAAGCGGUGGAGCAUGUGGUUUAAUUCGAUGCAACGCGAAGAACCUUACCUGGUCUUGACAUCCACAGAACUUUCCAGAGAUGGAUUGGUGCCUUCGGGAACUGUGAGACAGGUGCUGCAUGGCUGUCGUCAGCUCGUGUUGUGAAAUGUUGGGUUAAGUCCCGCAACGAGCGCAACCCUUAUCCUUUGUUGCCAGCGGUCCGGCCGGGAACUCAAAGGAGACUGCCAGUGAUAAACUGGAGGAAGGUGGGGAUGACGUCAAGUCAUUCAUGGCCCUUACGACCAGGGGCUACACACUUGCUACAAUGGCAUAUUCAAAGAGAAGCGACCUUCGCGAGAACAAGCGACCUCAUAAAGUAUGUCGAAUCCCGAAUGGAAGUCUGCAACUCAACUCCCUGAAUUCGAAUCCCUAGUAUUCUAAAUCAAAUGGCUCCGGUGAAUACGUUCCGGGCCUUGUACAAACGGCCGGUCAAUCCAUGGGGAUGGGGGAUUGCCAAAGUAAAUUGAGGGUGGCUUAACCCUUCGGGUGAGGGCGCGUUGACAAUUUGGUGGAAUAUUUCAUGUGCACAUGUUGGGGGAGAUGU
rnacentral:rRNA from 1 species